UAUCUGAAGAGUGGCUGAACAUUAACUCUUUGUGGCGGUGUUUCAUCCGUGGGGGAGGCCUGGUGGCUGGAGGAUUUGGAUUUGCAAGCCGCCUAACGCACAGCGUGCCGUCCGCCAAACACUUUGAUUUCAUGCUUUGUGCCACACCCUGGGAAAGUUUUAGGAGAAAAAGGCAACGUCCAGCCCUUUCCAGUGCCUCCCUCUGAUUCUCAAGUCCCAGCUGUUUGUUCCUGCACUGAAGCCUUGCAAGCCUAUGAUGUAGAUAUUAGUCUCCCUUUUUUUUAGAUAAGGCAGUUGAGGUUUAGAGAUUUGAAGUGAUUUACCAACAUCGUCUAGAUGGUACGGACAGAACUGGGUUUGGUGCAGAUCUGCCCUCAAAGCCCAGGCACCUCCUAGUACUCUGCUGAGUCUUGCCCUCCAGGGGCACCAGCUUCGCUGGGUGGGGAGCCAACCAAGAAACUGUGGGCAGGUGUUUCCUGUUGUCUUUGGACAGAGCGGCAUCUCUCUUGUGUUUUUUUGGAGUAAAUGAGAUGUGGCUGGCCUGAGGGCGAGGACAUGAGCAUGGAUUCAACCCGGAACCACUUCUUGCUUGUCUGUAAAAGACUGGACUAGAUUGAAGUUUCCCUUAUGUCUGAGCAUCUGAGAUAUGAUUCUGAGGGUCAGUUCAUUGCAGAGGCAUCACCAUGAAUGGUAAAAGCCCUGGGUCAGGAGCCCUGCUCUACUUGUCAGCUGUGAGAUGCUGGGCAACUCAGUUCACCUCCCUGCAUCAAGAUUUUCCUAUCUGUCAAAGGAAGACCAUUAUCUUGUUGGUGUAAUUUUCAGGCUGUUGUGAAGAUCAAAUGGAAACGCCAAAGUGUAAUCUGUAAAAGCCUGUGCGCUUGCAGGGAACAUGGGCCUAAUGGUGACUCUGCCUGGCCAGCUAAUCACCAAUUCAGGGCAGCAAAUCUGGCCUGCAACAUGGUCUGUGUGGACAGCCAGGAUCCCUCCUCCGUGGGGCACAGACUUCCUCCUCUGUACCCUGAGUGCCGUGGUAACUAUCUCAUAAAGUCGUAGUGAAGAAUACGGAACGUAAUCCCAUUCACCUCUUCCUCCAUCAUCUGUCCUCUGCUCACCCAACAAACUUGUAUUGUGUAUGGGCUCUUCACCAGUCUCCGUGCUGAGCGCUGGGAAUACGGGAGUGAAUGAGACAUGGUCUUUUCCUCUAGAAAAGCAUAGUCCAGGCACAGAGACACCCACUAACAAAAAGUUAUAGGACAAUGUGGGAUUCAGGGAAACCCCUGUACUUGAGGUAUUUGGGAGCUCAAAGGAGAGCAGCAUCUAGCUGAGCCUGGAGGUCAACAAGUCUCCUUGGAGGAGACGGCACUUGAAUGAGACUUGAAGGAUGAAUCAGCCAGGUGAAGGGGCAUGCACAGGAGAGGUCGUUCAUGUUGCUCUCAGCCUCAGUGAACUCCAUCUCAUCCAUGCCCUCGCCCGUGUACCAGUGCAAGAAGGCCUCGCGCCGGAACAUGGCCAUGAACUGCUCCGAGAUGCACUUGAACAGCUCCUGGAUGGCCUUCCCCGUGCUCCUCCCUGCCCUCCCCUGGGUACUUCAGGCUGCAGGGUGGUGACGGUCCCUAGCUCACAGGGGCUGCACCCAUGACUGAUUCUCCUACUCCCUGCCCUCAGUUUAUGUGAAGUUCCUUUCUUAAGCUUUUCUUAAGUCACUCAGGUGAGAUGCCAUCUCUUUCUGCUGGGACUCUGCCUGAGACACAGCUUACAGGGCCCUGCACGAAAGGCCCCUGCUCUGUGCCCCCGCACCCCAGUGCUGCCACUUCUCUCCACCAUUCACAUGCCCCAGCCUCUUCUCACCCCAGGGCUUCCCCAUGACGGGAGCUUCAGCCGGUGUUACUUUGCUACUUGGUACCCACUUCCACCGAGAGGCCUUCUUUGAUAUCGUUGGGUUGGGUCAGAGCCCCUCCUCUGGUUUCAGUGGCCCCUUUGUACUCCCUCCAUCACAGCCUGGACCACGGUACACUGAACUUGUCUGCCUUUCCUGCCAGACUAGUAACUCCUGAAGGCAGGAACCAUGCAGAGGAGAGUGAGGCAGCACAGCAGGGAGGGUAAGAGCCAGACGUGAGCAGCACUGCCUGGGUUGAUAUUUCAGCUCUUCACUUCUCAGCCGUCUGUGGAGCCUUAAGCAAGACACUUCACCUCUGCAGGAACAUUUGCGCAAUCUGCAAAACGUGGUGAUCAAACUAGUUUUUUAGCUAAACUGUUUAGUUUUAUCUGCACUAAUUUUAUUUUUUACUGAACUACUUCACAUACAUUAAAAAAUCUAAUAUGUAGAAUUAUUAACGAAUUUGGUAUAUGGAAUUAGCCCCCAAUAAACAUUAGGUAUUAUGGUCAGUUUGUGACAGUGCUGGCUCAAUAAGUAGAGAAUGAAUGGAUUCUAUCUCACAGGUGUAUCCUUGCACAAUAGUGUACUUUCCCAUUUCAUUCUUCCAGCAGCCUGGCGAGGAAAAGAAAGUAGAAGUCCUAUAAGCUCUUUACAAAUGAGGACACUGUUCUUAGAGGAACUUUCCCAGGGACCCACACCUGACACAGAGCUGAGGAGCAAGCGGGGCCUGAGCGUUGAGAGCCCCCCCUGGGAGCCCUUUGCCUCAGCUGCCACAGCAGUGAGAGGGUCCAAGCAGUUUGCUCUGGGAGACUGGCGGCCACAGAGUUGGUAGGAUCCAGGGUCUUUAGAGGCAUUCACUUUGGUCACUUUCCCUGAAAUUCUCUGAGUCACCUUAGGGAUUUUCCAAGCUAUACGAUCCUGGAGGGUUUAAAAGAAAAGUCCAGUGUGUUGCAAGUUUUGAAACCAGCUGCGCGUACAUGCUCUGCUGGCCCAGGCCUCUGUCUGAACCCAGGAAGUGCGACUCAGAAGGGAAAUGAGCCUUAAUAUUUCAAGAAUAACAAUAGUAUUAAUUAAUGUAAGGUUUGUAAGAACUCUGGACAUUUAUCCAGUGCUUCUGGGAGUGCAGUCAGUUCUCCAGAGCAGCUAGGCUGGGCGUGCUGUUUUUUGAUCAAUGGCCCCUGUGUCUUUCGUCCUUGUCAGUGGAGAUUCUAUGCAGCUCCCGAACGCCGGAACCCAGCUCCGUGUCUGACACGCCAAAGGAGCCCCGCAAAUGAUGGAGCGACUGGCAAAAGAUGAGAAUGAAUCUAAUGUUCUAAGUCCCCACACAACAAUGUUUUACAGAUAGGGAAACUGAGGUUGGGGAGGUUCAAUGCUUUGGCCAAGGUGACACAGGUAGUAAGAGGAAAGACAGGGACGUCGAUGAGGAUCUUCCUGCAGCCUCAUGGCCUCAUGGGGAGCAGCCGAAGUAUUCAGGUUGUGUAUCUGGGGUCAGAUCCCCAAUCUGCCAACUACCUGCUAUGUGAUUUUGAAUAAGUUACUCAACUUCUUAGCCUCAGGGGCCUGAAUUGGUGAA